rnacentral:rRNA from 1 species
UCAGGCCUAACACAUGCAAGUCGAACGGUAACAGGUUAAGCUGACGAGUGGCGAACGGGUGAGUAAUGUAUCGGAACGUGCCCAGUCGUGGGGGAUAACUGCUCGAAAGAGCAGCUAAUACCGCAUACGACCUGAGGGUGAAAGCGGGGGAUCGCAAGACCUCGCGCGAUUGGAGCGGCCGAUAUCAGAUUAGGUAGUUGGUGGGGUAAAGGCCCACCAAGCCAACGAUCUGUAGCUGGUCUGAGAGGACGACCAGCCACACUGGGA